CUACGUGCCAGCAGCCGCGGUAAUACGUAGGGCGCGAGCGUUGUCCGGAAUUAUUGGGCGUAAAGAGCUUGUAGGCGGUUUGUCGCGUCUGCUGUGAAAGGCCGGAGCUUAACUCCGUGUAUUGCAGUGGGUACGGGCAGACUAGAGUGCAGUAGGGGAGACUGGAAUUCCUGGUGUAGCGGUGGAAUGCGCAGAUAUCAGGAGGAACACCGAUGGCGAAGGCAGGUCUCUGGUCUGUAACUGACGCUGAGAAGCGAAAGCAUGGGGAGCGAACAGGAUUAGAUACCCUGGUAGUCCAUGCCGUAAACGUUGGGCACUAGGUGUGGGGAACAUUCCACGUUUUCCGCGCCGUAGCUAACGCAUUAAGUGCCCCGCCUGGGGAGUACGGCCGCAAGGCUAAAACUCAAAGAAAUUGACGGGGGCCCGCACAAGCGGCGGAGCAUGCGGAUUAAUUCGAUGCAACGCGAAGAACCUUACCAAGGCUUGACAU
rnacentral:rRNA from 1 species